CCACUUCAAAAUCAGGAGACAAUGUGAGUUUUUGAACAUUGAGGAAUUAUUCAAUAUAUCCCCAAAUGAGGCAGGAUGAUGGUUCUUCUACUCAUAAGUCCCUUAACUUUGUCAGGAUUCCUGGUUCCCCAACAGAGAAAAUGGCUUUUUCAGAGCAUCAGGGGUAGUUCCCCUGUUCACUCUUUUUUCCAUAGUGAAUUCAAUAGUCAAUAUCUGUGAUUGCCUAACAUCAAUCACCACAAGGAAAAUCAAGAAAAAAACAUCAAGGAAAAAAUCUAGGAAAAACAUCUAGAAAAAAAUCUAGAAUAAAUUAUGUAAGGCAGCUGCUGAACACGUGUUUGCAAAUAUUCAACUGCACACAAAGAAGAAAGCACAAGAUACAGCAAAGUACAGGUUAUUAUUUCUUUACUUUCUCUUCCUUAUUAGCUGUUCCCUAUUGUUCAGCUCAGGCCUAAGAAUGAUUAUGUAACAUUUGGGAGAAAAGAUGCAGCCCAGCAACCCAACACCGGAGGCUAAGAUGGAGAAGAUCUCCACAGCUACCAUAUAUUUUCCCUUGGUGCUCAGAUAGGAGGGAAUAAAGGACAGCCAAACACUGCAGAAGACCAACAUGCUGAAAGAGAUAAACUUAGCUUCGUUGAAACUGUCCGGUAAUUUCCUGGCGAGGAAAGCCAUAACAAAACUCACAGAUGCCAGGCAGCUCAUAUAGAUGAGGACACAGUAAAACAUUGCCACACUCCCCUCAUUACAUUCUAGUAUGAUUUCUUCCAUCACAGAGUGCAUGUCCACAUCUGGGUAUGGGGGAGAGGUUGCCAGCCACACAGUACAUAUGCCUACUUGGACUAUGGAGCAGGAAAUGAGAAUGGAGUGGCCUAGUCCUUUCCCCACCCAUUUCCUCAUCCUGGAUUCUGGUUUUGUAGCCAUGAAGGCCAAAACGACAGUGAAGGUUUUUGCCAGGACACAUGAAACAGCGGUUGAGAAGAUGAUACCAAAAGCAGUUUGUUGAAGGAGGCACGUCACCUUCUCAGGUCGGCCAAUGAAGAGCAAUGCACACAGGAAGCAGAGCAGGAGAGAGAUGAGGAGAGCGUAGGUGAGGUUUCGGUUGUUUGCAAUGACAAUGGGCGUGUCAUGGUGUUUUAUAAAUGUACCUAGUACCAGAGCUGUGAUCAAGGAAAGGGAAAGAGAGAAGCAGGCUAAACUGAUGCCCAAAGGUUCUUCAUAAGACAAGAAGCUGAUAUCCUUGGGUAGACAUGCAUCCCGGUUCUUGCUUGGAUAUUCUUUGUCUGGGCAUUUAUUACAGUCAUUCAUAUCUGGGGGGAAAUAAGGAA